UCCGUGUUAACCACGGCAGUCUCUCUAGAGAGCCCAACUUAAUGCUGGCAACUAAAGAUAAGGGUUGCGCUCGUUGCGGGACUUAACCCAACAUGUCACCACACGAGCUGACGACAGCCAUGCAGCACCUGUCUCGCUGUCCCCUUGCGGGGAAGAGUGUAUCUCUACACCUGUCAGCGGAUGUCAAACCCAGGUAAGGUUUUUCGCGUUGCUUCGAAUUAAACCACAUGAUCCACCGCUUGUGCGGGCCCCCGUCAAUUCCUUUGAGUUUUAGUCUUGCGACCGUACUUCCCAGGCGGGGUACUUAGUGCGUUAGCGCCGAUUCAGCGGGGGUCAAGACCCACCAAAUCUAGUACCCAUCGUUUACAGCGUGGACUAC
rnacentral:misc_RNA from 1 species